GACUCCAUAGAAGUGUUGAUCAAAUAGAGGAACAAGAGCUCAAAAUGACCUAAAGACAUUUGGACAAAACGACAAAAAAAAUCCACUUUGAAGGAGUUGAACGAUUGUGUUUUAUUAGUCUGAAUAAUAUGAACCAGGACUAAACUGGCCCGGUGCCAGUCUCAGUCUCAGGUCUGGUCCCGGUCUGGUCAGUCUGCUCGAUGCAGUCCAAUUCUGCCAUUUUUUCAAACGAAACCAGAUGCAGAGGAACUGCGCAGCUGGCGAUCCUUCUGGAGCGAAUAGAACGGAUUUACUCGAGCAACCUGGACGCACAGAUGAAGUGAGUGACUGAAAAAAGUCAAGCGGCAAACUUGGACGUGAUUUAUUUGCACCAUUCACGUUUGGCCUGAACAUGGCUUAAUGCUCAAAGCACUUUACAUACUUAGCAUUAAGACAGAGACAUUUACAAGUCUGAGGACUGCAUGAACAGAGUACUCGGAGUACUCGGAGUACUCGGAGUACUCGGAGUACUCGGAGACUCGGAGGACUCGGAGGUUAGUCAGACCACUCCUGUCCUGUCUUCUGCAGCCAGUGGUGGAAUGUAAUGAAGUAUUCAAGUGCUGUACUUUAUCAUUUUUAGGUGUGUUUUUAUGUUAUAGAAUGAAAAUUUAACCACAAAAUCAUUUUGAAUCAUGUUCUGUUUGUUGCAGCUCAGCUCUUUAACCCUCGUGCACCCCUUUAAAAAUAGUUACACCUGUGUCCUUCGUGACAAAAAUGUACAUCGAAAAAGAAUACCACAAUAUUUUUAUGCAGUACAGAUUUUUGUCCAACUUUUUUAUAUCAGUGUCUUUAUUUAAUUUACUUCUGCCUGAAUCAUACACACCAAAUAUUCUAUAAUAUUUUGACAUUUUAAACCAAGCACAUAUUUUGUGCAUGAAAGAGUUUUUGCACAAAAUUCUGUUUUCCCCUAAAGCCCCAUUGACUUCCAUUAUAACCACACAUUUUUUGGUUGCACUGAUGUAACACUAGAAAAUCAUAAAUUGUGGAUUUGUACAGGUUUCUCCUGUUAAGAAAAGGUAAAAUUUGUGAUUUUCACAGUUGAAACUCACCCCAUCCCACCUUGUGCAGGCCUGUAAACACAGCUGGAGUUUUCCUGUGAUUCCCUGUGGAGUUCUAUGGGAUUUCUCAGGGAUUGUGUACAGGAGGGUUCUGGGGGCAUAUACUUGCCUGGGGUGGGUUGUGGGAGUGUGUGGGGGUACUGGGGGUUGUCGGGAGAUUGUGUGUGUGUGUAUUCACAUACAUGGGUCUGUGUGGGGGGGUGAAGGGGGGUCAUAUUUGCAUUGUGUAAAAAUGACAGAAAAUGUAAAUAUUAUGAUCAUGCUUGAAAUGGUGGAACUAAAAAUCAUAGAAAAGAAAUCUCCAAACCUCCAAAAAACACUCAAAUAUAACAAUUUUGAACAGAUCUGAACACACUGACAGGAGAAAAACAAGUAAUUAAGUGAAGUAAAAUUGCAGUUACUCUGCUUUUUAAAAAAAAAAAACAUUUUCAGUGUUUAUCACUGGAGGCGUAAACAAUCACACAGACACACACACACACACACUGCUCUAGGACUCCUCUGGAACAUCAUCUCAUUUUAACCUCUUAUCUACAUCUCUGGCCUUCAGUGUGAACUAAUGUGUACAAAAGUCUUUAUAUUGAUAAAACCUUCAAUGGAAGAUACACAGUAAAAAGAAAAAUAUGAAAAAAGACACUACAACAAUUUUGAAGGGUUUUCAACAUCAAAGAAUGGAAAAUAAAUCAAAAAGUAAAAUUCACUGGCAAAGUUUUGCCAGUGAAAAAAGCCAUUUUAAAUGGAAGUCAAUGGGACAAAAAUGUACCGAAGGAGCACAGGUGUGAGUAUUUUGAUUAUAGACCAGAAAAUUAAUAUGAUCUUGAAAAAAACACAGAAAUUAAAAAUACACCACAAAAUACACAAACUGACCAAUUUUGGUGCUAUUUGGUGCAAUAAUGCCAAAGUUAUGCAAAAAAGAAAAGUUGAGAUGAACAAAAAUGUACGUAGGGGAGUAAGAGGGUUAAAUGAUUCUGUAGGUUUAAAAACUGGUUCAAAAUGUGUUCUCAGGCAAAGUUAUUUGUACUGUAUGGGUCAAAUUUUACUUUUAUAAGGUUUUUGGGUAUUUAUGGUACAUUUUAUAAACGGUUACUUUUUCAUUUAUUUUUUUGUAAAUUGUAUUUACAAAUAAAUGAAAAUAGACUAAA